AUUUUUCCCCAUGUCAGUAUAAAAGAUGCAGCAAUGUUCCCAAGCAAUUAUAACUCAAUGUUUCAUCACAGAAGUUCGAUUAAAGGUUAUUCAAAAUGGGCGUAAUAUCAUCUUCCACACGGAGUAUUGACGAGGACAAUGCUGAUAUCAAGAGAAUGUUUGCGGCAGCAAAAAUGGGAAAUUGGGGGGAGGUAUGGCGGAUUCUAGGGACCCCAGGCCGACCACUGAAACCAUAUCUCAUAAACCUAGUCCCAGAAGACAGACGAUGGGGUUUACUCCAGCAGGCUGUUUGGUGGAACAAUCUCUCUGCAAUCAGAACUCUUCUACAGUUUCAAGCAUGCGACAAAGAAUUAAAGGCAAAGGAUGGCAUUUCCGAGAAAGGACCAACCAGUGGAAAUACAGCUCAGGAAAUAGCUGAAUUGUUUGGAUAUUUAGAGGCUUCGAAAAUCAUUAAGAACCACAUAACCUCGAAAGUGAGGAGGACAUCGAAACAUUCUAUGAUGGGAGUAGCUCUAUCGAAAAUGAAGAAUAUGGUCUAUUUAGACUUACAUUGGCGGCUUACAAAGGCGUUUUUCAUCCGGCUGUUGUCGACAAAACGAAAUCACUUUCAGCUUUAUUGAAUGAUGUAUUUAGACAUGUGAAUACAGGUAAAAACUGGGUUGCUGUUAGGGAUAAAGUUGCACAGUCGCUUUACCCAGCAUGUACGGAAGCAAGCGAUGUAGUUAGUAAGUGUACCAACAGAUUUGACCUCUACAGAACGAUCGUCAAGGUAUAUACCGACGAAGAUACCCAAUUAUACACUUAUCUGAAUACAGCUUUGAGGCGACAGCGUGAUACGGGCUUCAAACCUACAGGAAAUGAUCUAGCACUCGGACCGUAUAUUCUUAUGUUCCAUCUACUUUUGUUUUGUUGGAGGGAUUUGGUAAGAGAAAAAACGAAAACAUAUCGCAAAAUGAAAAUUUCUGCUCGAGAUCUCGCAAAGUACCAACCAGGAAAAAAGUUUACUUGGUUAUCUUUUGUUUCAUCUUCUGUUCAACAGCAAUGCGCUCAGAUUUUUCCGUCCUGCACACCGAGUGGCAACAUUGAAGUACAUUUUGUUAUUGAUAACUCUUCUGAUUCGCAGUGGCAACCACUCAACAUUGAAAACUACGCAUGUUAUACGGAAAAAGAAAGAGUUUACCCAGCAGGAGCACAAUACCUGGUUAAAAGAUAUUCAGUAAAAAAGGGAGUACCGACAAUUCUUCUGAAGCUUUUAGGAAGCGAAUAGUGACGAUUACUGUCGUAGUAAUACUAGAUUAUUGACUGAAAUGGUAUUGUUCUUUUAGUCACUCUGAUAUUGUUGUUUAUCAGAUUUAGUUUUUUGUGUAUUAUAAUAUUAAUAACUAUUUGCAGCGUUAUUUGAUACUAUUUCAUUUUCAAAUAGAAUUGUGAUUGUUUUAUAGUUUUUAAAGGAACCUAUAUA